AGAGUAGGCGGGAAAAUAAGUUAGAAGUUUAAUAUAUAGGCUUAACCUAUAAGCUGCUUCUAAUACUGUUUUUCUUGAGUAUUGGAGAGGGAGAUGGAAUUCCAGGUGUAGCGGUGGAAUGCGUAGAUAUCUGGAAGAACACCAGUUGCGAAGGCGGUCUCCUGGCCAAAUACUGACGCUGAUGCUCGAAAGCUAGGGGAGCAAACAGGAUUAGAUACCCUGGUAGUCCUAGCCGUAAACGAUGGACACUAGAUGCUGGAGGAGUCAAUCCUUUCGGUGUCGUAGCUAACGUGUUAAGUGUCCGCCUGGGGAGUACGCUCGCAAGGGUGAA
rnacentral:rRNA from 1 species